UGCAGCCUCGUCAAAUUCAGUCCCGCCCGCAACGUGGCGGAAACUGGCCAAUGGGCUGCGACAGAAAACCUGUAGGUCAUGGGCCUCACCUUCGCUUGGGUGCGAUGUGAGGAUAUAAUUGCACUACAGACACCU